rnacentral:rRNA from 1 species
GGACCAAGGAGUCUAGCAUGUGCGCGAGUCAUUGGGAUUUUUACUAAACCUAAAGGCGCAAUGAAAGUGAAGGUCCGCCUUGCGCGGACCGAGGGAGGAUGGACCGUUCCGAGGGACGGCCUCGCACUCCCGGGGCGUCUCGCUCUCAUCGCGAGAAGAGGCGCACCCAGAGCGUACACGCUGGGACCCGAAAGAUGGUGAACUAUGCCUGGUCAGGACGAAGUCAGGGGAAACCCUGAUGGAGGUCCGUAGCGAUUCUGACGUGCAAAUCGAUCGUCGGAACUGGGUAUAGGGGCGAAAGACUAAUCGAACCAUCUAGUAGCUGGUUCCCUCCGAAGUUUCCCUCAGGAUAGCUGGCGCUCGCUUCUCGCGAGUCUCAUUCGGUAAAGCGAAUGAUUAGAGGCAUUGGGGUCGAAACGGCCUCAACCUAUUCUCAAACUUUAAAUGGGUGAGAUCUCCGGCUUGCUUGAACUGUGAAGCCGCGAGAUAUCGGAUCAGAGUGCCAAGUGGGCCACUUUUGGUAAGCAGAACUGGCGCUGUGGGAUGAACCAAACGCAGAGUUAAAGCGCCUAAAUCGACGCUUAUGGGAUACCAUGAAAGGCGUUGGUAACUUAAGACAGCAGGACGGUG